GAGCCCAUUCUCCCGUGACGGUGACUCCAACGGUUGGCUGAGGACGAUUCCCUGAGCCUUGACAAAGCAGGAGCCCUCCGUGGCGGUGCGUCGGUGUCGAGGCUCCAGUCUGACUAAUCCAGGGGGUCGACAAAACAGAUUCGGGACACUAUGCUACACGGAGGGCCUACCAGGAUGCAGAAACAGCAGACGGAGUCCAGGGAAAGCAGUGCGGCAUCCCAGCCUCAGGCCUGCCCGUACGGUGUUCGGAAAUACUAGGCUUUAGAAUUUCACCAUAUGAAUUUUGGGAGAGAGGAGCACAGUUCAGCCCAUAACUAACACACGACGGAAUGAAGUUGAUAAUAGUGAGACCUUGUUGGUACAAGACUAUGUAACAUAACCUGCGCUUCUCAACAAAGAAUUGCUUUUCUGACUUCUGCACUCAAUAGCAAGACAAAUCUCUCCUCUGCCUUCUCCUUAUCAGACUACUCAACAUGAAGGCAAUAAGAAUGAAGACCUCUAUGUAUAAUAAUUGACUUCCACUUAAUAAAUAGCUAGCUUGGACUUGUUCUGAUGGAAAUAGCAGGAGUCCCAACUACAAGAGUUGCAAUGUCAAGGCCUCAUCUUAUAACUGGCACAUAGGUCACUUCCACCAUAUUCUUUUUGCUAACGAAAGUCACAAAGUCAGUCCAUGUUCAAGUAGAGGGGAAACUGACUCCACCACUUGAUGUGAAGAGUUGGAAUAUCAUAGUUAUUGUUUCUUGUGACUUGCCAUAGCGUAUUUUCUCACACUAACAACUCUGUAUUUCUUCCCAAAUUCUGAAAAAUUCUUUUGUUGGCUCUUCCUGUACUUGAUUCAUUACAUUAAGUUUUCCAUUUAAAUGUUAUUUCCUUGGAAAGACUUUAUCAUUUGUCAAGUAGGUGUAUUCUCUUCAUCAGUUACUCUAUUUUCUCAUUACAAUAUGAACUUUGUAAAAAUGGGAACUUUACUUUGUUUAUGCCAGUAGUUUAUAUACAUUUUCUGUUACGUGAAAAGUACAAAAUGUUUUUUUCAUGGUUAAAGAAAUAAAAGAAUAAAUAUGUAAUCA
ensembl:lncRNA MIR663AHG MIR663A host gene